CAUCUACUCCCUCCGUCCAACAAAAGAUGUCUCAACUUUAACUAAAUUUAAAUGCAUCUAUACACUAAGUUAUGUCUAGAUACAUCCAAAUUUUGACAAACUUGAGACAUCUUUUGUUGGACGGAGGGAGUAUUAA
rnacentral:pre_miRNA from 1 species